UACGUAAGAGGCUAGCGUUAUUCGUCAUUAAUGGGUCUAAAGGGUACGUAGGCGGUAUAGAAAAUCUUAUUCGUAGACGUGAGAGUGAAUAUUGAUAAUUUUGUACUAGAGUUAGAAAGGAGUAACAAAUAUAACGAGAGGAGUGUAACAAUACCUAGAUACUCGAGAGGUUGCGAAGUAGCGAAGGCAUGUUACUAUUAAUAACUGACGCUGAGGUACGAAGGCAUGGGUAUCGAACGGG
rnacentral:rRNA from 1 species